UACGAAGGGUGCAAACGUUGCUCGGAAUCACUGGGCGUAAAGCGCACGUAGGCGGAUUGCUAAGUCAGGGGUGAAAUCCUGGAGCUCAACUCCAGAACUGCCUUUGAUACUGGCAAUCUCGAGUCCGGGAGAGGUGAGUGGAACUGCGAGUGUAGAGGUGAAAUUCGUAGAUAUUCGCAAGAACACCAGUGGCGAAGGCGGCUCACUGGCCCGGUACUGACGCUGAGGUGCGAAAGCGUGGGGAGC
rnacentral:rRNA from 1 species